rnacentral:rRNA from 1 species
GUGUCAGCAGCCGCGGUAAUACGGAGGGUGCGAGCGUUGUCCGGAUUUAUUGGGUUUAAAGGGUGCGUAGGUGGCUGUUUAAGUCAGUGGUGAAAUACGGUUGCUCAACAAUCGAGGUGCCAUUGAUACUGAAUAGCUUGAAAUAAUUGGAGGCUGCCGGAAUGGAUGGUGUAGCGGUGAAAUGCAUAGAUAUCAUCCAGAACACCGAUUGCGAAGGCAGGUGGCUACGAUUGGUUUGACACUGAGGCACGAAAGCAUGGGGAGCAAACAGGAUUAGAAACCCUCGUAGUCC